CCUACGGGAGGCAGCCGUAGGGAAUUUUGCGCAAUGGGCGAAAGCCUGACGCAGCAACGCCGCGUGAUUGAUUAAGCCCUUCGGGGUGUAAAGAUCUGUCCGUGGGGACGAAACUUGACGGUACCCACAGAGGAACCACCGGCGACCUCCGUGCCAGCAGCCGCGGUAAUACGGAGGGUGCAACCGUUGCCCGGAAUCCUUGGGCGGAAAGAGUUCGUAGGUGGCAUAUUAAGUCUGGUGUUAAAUGCAGAAGGUUAACUUCUAGUAAGCAUUGGAUACUGGUAAGCUUGAAUGCGGUAGAGGUAAAGGGAAUUCCUGGUGUAGCGGUGAAAGGCGUAGAUAUCAGGAGGAACAUCAGUGGCGAAAGCGCUUUACUGGGCUGUAAUUGACACUGAGGAACGAAAGCCUGGGUAGCAAAUGGGAUUAGAUACCCUGGUAGUC
rnacentral:rRNA from 1 species